rnacentral:rRNA from 1 species
GGAGGGGGCUAGCGUUGUUCGGAAUUACUGGGCGUAAAGCGUACGUAGGCGGCUUUGUAAGUUAGAGGUGAAAGCCCGGGGCUCAACCCCGGAAUUGCCUUUAAAACUGCAUCGCUUGAAUCAUGGAGAGGUGAGUGGAAUUCCGAGUGUAGAGGUGAAAUUCGUAGAUAUUCGGAAGAACACCAGUGGCGAAGGCGACUCACUGGACAUGUAUUGACGCUGAGGUACGAAAGCGUGGGGAGCAAACAGGAUUAGAUACCCUGGUAGUCCACGCCGUAAACGAUGAUGACCAGCUGUCGGGGCGCUUAGCGUUUCGGUGGCGCAGCUAACGCGUUAAGUCAUCCGCCUGGGGAGUACGGCCGCAAGGUUA